AUUCCAGCUCCAGUAGCGUAUAUUAAAGUUGUUGCAGUUAAAAAGCUCGUAGUUGGAUUUCUGGUUUCACAGAACUGGCCUACUUCCUCAAGGUCGUGUGCGCCGUGUUUUGUGUACCAUCCUUCUAGAAAUUGUGUUCCAUCCCUUCACUGGGAUAGAUCCGAGAUCUAGAUCUUUACUUAGAAGAAAUUAGAGUGUUCAAAGCAGGCUCGCGCUGUGAAUACAUUAGCAUGGAAUAAUAAUUUAGGACUUGGUAUCCUAUUUUGUUGGUUUUCAGGAUCUAAGUAAUGAUUGAUAGGGAUAGUUGGGGGUGCUAGUAUUUUGCGGCCAGAGGUGAAAUUCUGUGAUUCGCGAAAGACUAACUUAUGCGAAAGCAUUCACCAAGGAUGUCUUCAUCA
rnacentral:rRNA from 1 species